rnacentral:rRNA from 1 species
UACGUAGGGUGCGAGCGUUAAUCGGAAUUACUGGGCGUAAAGCGGGCGCAGACGGUUACUUAAGCAGGAUGUGAAAUCCCCGGGCCCAACCUGGGAACUGCGUUCUGAACUGGGUGACUAGAGUGUGUCAGAGGGAGGUAGAAUUCCACGUGUAGCAGUGAAAUGCGUAGAGAUGUGGAGGAAUACCGAUGGCGAAGGCAGCCUCCUGGGAUAACACUGACGUUCAUGCCCGAAAGCGUGGGUAGCAAACAGGAUUAGAUACCCUGGUAGUCCACGCCCUAAACGAUGUCGAUUAGCUGUUGGGCAGCUUGACUGCUUAGUAGCGAAGCUAACGCGUGAAAUCGACCGCCUGGGGAGUACGGUCGCAAGAUUAAAACUC